UUUUGAAGGAAAAAUUAAAUGCUUUUCGAUUUACAGACGAUCUCCGACGGCACUCAAACAAACAAGGUUCUCUACUGCUGGCUUUCGUGCUUGUUGAAACCUAACAAAAUGGCGACGUUUGAAAAAUGCUGAAUUUUACCCAAAAUAUUGCUCGUUUUUGGAAGGCCAAAAUUCGAUUUUUUUCUGGAUAAAAAAACUGGCGGGUCAUUGUUUAGAAAACUAUAUACCUACAUGGCACAAGCAGAAAUCAAAGACUGAUAGUGAUCGGGAUCAUUUUUUGCCGCCGAAUAACUACUCAAGAAAAUUUGAAAAAUGCUGUUUCGACAAAAACGAGUUUAAGCAGAUAUUCUAGUAUAGAGGCAUGAAUUUCAGAAAAGCCAGUUUCGAGAAAAAGUUCUUUCAGUUCCGCCCGAACCAGUUUGAACAGCGCCGGGUCAACAAAGUAACACACGAAAAUUUUUUGAAAUACCGGUUUGAAAGAAUAUUCCCUUAAGGAUAGAUUGCUGGAGCUGAGAUAUCGAUUUGAAAUUUUAGUAUCUUAUUUUUAAAGUUAUAAUCUUCAUUGCAACUAUUCAUAACAACAGCAAUAAUAUAAGUAUGUACAUACUUUAAGAACAUUUUCAUUACGCAUAUAAGGGUAUUUCAAAAAUGAUUUAAAUAUUCAAUAUUUUUGUAUGCAAGCUCAUGAUGACACACAAAAAUUCGAAACAUAAGUAUAACGUCACUUAAAAUGUAAAACAACGUAUUAUCAAAAAAUUCGAAAUUGAGUUUUUGAUUGCUUACGAUUAACUACAUUAUACUGUAUACACAUACAUAUGUAUCAUAAAGUUUUAAGCUACCGCUCUCUAGUAUAACCAAUAUAUAAGAAAUACAUAACCAAUAUAUAAGCAAUAUAUAACCAAUAUAUAACCA